rnacentral:rRNA from 1 species
UACGAAGGGGGCUAGCGUUGCUCGGAAUCACUGGGCGUAAAGGGUGCGUAGGCGGGUAUUUAAGUCAGGGGGGAAAUCCUGGAGCUCAACUCCAGAACUGCCUUUGAUACUGAAGAUCUUGAGUUCGGGAGAGGUGAGUGGAACUGCGAGUGUAGAGGUGAAAUUCGUAGAUAUUCGCAAGAACACCAGUGGCGAAGGCGGCUCACUGGCCCGAUACUGACGCUGAGGCACGAAAGCGUGGGGAGCAAACAGG